GUGACAUUACGUUGAAACACCGGUUCUCCUCCGAUCACCGUAGUUAAGCAACGUCGAACCUGGUCAGUACCUAGACGGGUGACCGCUUGGGAAUACCAGAUGCUGUAAG